rnacentral:rRNA from 1 species
GCAGUCGCCACGGGAAUACGAAGGGGGCUAGCGUUGCUCGGAAUUACUGGGCGUAAAGGGAGCGUAGGCGGACAUUUAAGUCAGGGGUGAAAUCCCAGAGCUCAACUCUGGAACUGCCUUUGAUACUGGGUGUCUUGAGUGUGAUAGAGGUAUGUGGAACUCCGAGUGUAGAGGUGAAAUUCGUAGAUAUUCGGAAGAACACCAGUGGCGAAGGCGACAUACUGGAUCAUUACUGACGCUGAGGCUCGAAAGCGUGGGGAGCAAACAGGAUUAGAUACCCCUGUAGUCCCUGUCUCUUAUAC